rnacentral:SRP_RNA from 1 species
GAAGAGGGAUCCGGCGGUGAGAGACCGUGAAUCUGGUCAGGUGGGAAACCAAGCAGCCAUAAACGUUACCUUUCAGGUGUUCGGGUCUCUCUUCGAC